rnacentral:rRNA from 1 species
GGGUUGUGAGGUUAAGCGAAUAAGCGUACACGGUGGAUGCCUAGGCAAUCAGAGGCGAUGAAGGACGUGCUAAUCUGCGAAAAGCGUCGGUAAGGUGAUAUGAACCGUUAUACCCGACGAUAUCCGAAUGGGGAAACCCAGUAUCCAAUGGAUACUAUCAUUAACUGAAUCCAUAGGUUAAUGAGGCGAACCGGGAGAACUGAAACAUCUCAGUACCCCGAGGAAAAGAAAUCAACCGAGAUUCCCCUAGUAGCGGCGAGCGAACGGGGAGCAGCCCAGAGUCUUAAUCAAUAGCAGUGUCAGGAGAACGGUCUGGAAAGUCCGGCAGUAAAGGGUGAUAGCCCCGUAUCUGAAGAUGCUGUUAUUGUGAACUCGACGAGUAGGGCGGGACACGUGUUAUCCUGUCUGAAUAUGGGGGGACCAUCCUCCAAGGCUAAAUACUCCUGAUUGACCGAUAGUGAACCAGUACCGUGAGGGAAAGGCGAAAAGAACCCCGGCGAGGGGAGUGAAAAAGAACCUGAAACCGUGUACGUACAAGCAGUAGGAGCCUCUUUAUGGGGUGACUGCGUACCUUUUGUAUAAUGGGUCAGCGACUUAUAUUCUGUAGCGAGGUUAACCGUAUAGGGGAGCCGUAGGGAAACCGAGUCUUAACUGGGCGAAUGAGUUGCAGGGUAUAGACCCGAAACCCGGUGAUCUAUCCAUGGGCAGGUUGAAGGUUGGGUAACACUAACUGGAGGACCGAACCGACUAAUGUUGAAAAAUUAGCGGAUGACUUGUGGAUGGGGGUGAAAGGCCAAUCAAACCGGGAGAUAGCUGGUUCUCCCCGAAAGCUAUUUAGGUAGCGCCUCGUGAACUCAUCUUCGGGGGUAGAGCACUGUUUCGACUAGGGGGUCAUCCCGACUUACCAACUCGAUGCAAACUGCGAAUACCGAAGAAUGUUAUCACGGGAGACACACGGCGGGUGCUAACGUCCGUCGUGAAGAGGGAAACAACCCAGACCGCCAGCUAAGGUCCCAAAGUCAUGGUUAAGUGGGAAACGAAGUGGGAAGGCUCAGACAGCCAGGAUGUUGGCUUAGAAGCAGCCAUCAUUUAAAGAAAGCGUAAUAGCUCACUGGUCGAGUCGGCCCGCGCGGAAGAUGUAACGGGGCUAAACCAUGCACCGAAGCUGCGGCAGCGACACAUAGUGUUGUUGGGUAGGGGAGCGUUCUGUAAGCCUGCGAAGGUGUACUGUGAGGUAUGCUGGAGGUAUCAGAAGUGCGAAUGCUGACAUAAGUAACGAUAAUGCGGGUGAAAAACCCGCACGCCGGAAGACCAAGGGUUCCUGUCCAACGUUAAUCGGGGCAGGGUGAGUCGACCCCUAAGGCGAGGCUGAAAAGCGUAGUCGAUGGGAAACGGGUUAAUAUUCCCGUACUGGUGGUAACUGCGAUGGGGGAACGGAGAAGGCUAGGUUGUCCGGGCGACGGUCGUCCCGGUUCAAGCAGGUAGGCAGAGUGAUUAGGCAAAUCCGGUCACUUAAUGCUGAGAUGUGAUGACGAACCACCAAGGUGGUGAAGCAAUUGAUGCCCCGCUUCCAGGAAAAGCCUCUAAGCUUCAGGUUACCAACAAUCGUACCCCAAACCGACACAGGUGGUCAGGUAGAGAAUACUCAGGCGCUUGAGAGAACUCGGGUGAAGGAACUAGGCAAAAUGGUGCCGUAACUUCGGGAGAAGGCACGCUGGCGGUAGGUAAAGUCCCUCGCGGACGGCGCCCAAGCCAGUCGAAGAUACCAGCUGGCUGCAACUGUUUAUUAAAAACACAGCACUGUGCAAACACGAAAGUGGACGUAUACGGUGUGACGCCUGCCCGGUGCUGGAAGGUUAAUUGAUGGGGUCAGCCGUAAGGCGAAGCUCCUGAUCGAAGCCCCAGUAAACGGCGGCCGUAACUAUAACGGUCCUAAGGUAGCGAAAUUCCUUGUCGGGUAAGUUCCGACCUGCACGAAUGGCGUAAUGAUGGCCAGGCUGUCUCCACCCGAGACUCAGUGAAAUUGAACUCGCUGUGAAGAUGCAGUGUACCCGCGGCAAGACGGAAAGACCCCGUGAACCUUUACUAUAGCUUGACACUGAACAUUGAGCCUUGAUGUGUAGGAUAGGUGGGAGGCUUUGAAGUGUGGACGCCAGUCUGCAUGGAGCCAACCUUGAAAUACCACCCUUUAACGUUUGAUGUUCUAACCUAGGCCCAUAAACUGGGUCGGGGACCGUGUCUGGUGGGUAGUUUGACUGGGGCGGUCUCCUCCUAAAGAGUAACGGAGGAGCACGAAGGUUGGCUAAGCAUGGUCGGACAUCAUGCGGUUAGUGCAAAGGCAUAAGCCAGCUUGACUGCGAGAGUGACGGCUCGAGCAGGUACGAAAGUAGGUCUUAGUGAUCCGGUGGUUCUGAAUGGAAGGGCCAUCGCUCAACGGAUAAAAGGUACUCCGGGGAUAACAGGCUGAUACCGCCCAAGAGUUCAUAUCGACGGCGGUGUUUGGCACCUCGAUGUCGGCUCAUCACAUCCUGGGGCUGAAGUAGGUCCCAAGGGUAUGGCUGUUCGCCAUUUAAAGUGGUACGCGAGCUGGGUUUAGAACGUCGUGAGACAGUUCGGUCCCUAUCUGCCGUGGGCGUUGGAAGAUUGAGAGGGGUUGCUCCUAGUACGAGAGGACCGGAGUGAACGCACCACUGGUGUUCGGGUUGUCAUGCCAAUGGCAUUGCCCGGUAGCUAAGUGCGGAAGAGAUAACCGCUGAAAGCAUCUAAGCGGGAAACUUGCCUCGAGAUGAGUCUUCCCUGUCGCUUUAAGCGACCUAAAGGAACGUUUAAGACUAAGACGUUGAUAGGCUGGGUGUGUAAGCGUAGCGAUACGUUGAGCUAACCAGUACUAAUGAACCGUGAGGCUUAACCUGACAACACCGAAAGUGUUUUG